rnacentral:rRNA from 1 species
GAUGAACGCUGGCGGCGUGCUUAACACAUGCAAGUCGAACGGAAAGGCUCCUGCUUGCAGGGGUACUCGAGUGGCGAACGGGUGAGUAACACGUGGGUGAUCUGCCCUGCACUUCGGGAUAAGCCUGGGAAACUGGGUCUAAUACCGGAUAGGACCACAUUUUGGAUGGUGUGGUGGAAAGUUUUUCGGUGUGGGAUGAGCUCGCGGCCUAUCAGCUUGUUGGUGGGGUAAUGGCCUACCAAGGCGUCGACGGGUAGCCGGCCUGAGAGGGUGUACGGCCACAUUGGGACUGAGAUACGGCCCAGACUCCUACGGGAGGCAGCAGUGGGGAAUAUUGCACAAUGGGCGCAAGCCUGAUGCAGCGACGCCGCGUGGGGGAUGACGGCCUUCGGGUUGUAAACCCCUUUCGCUAGGGACGAAGCGCAAGUGACGGUACCUGGAGAAGAAGCGCCGGCUAACUACGUG